CGUGAAGAGUGUUAGUGUGAUUUAUUACAAUAGAAUGGCGAAGCAGCACAAGCAGGCAGCACUAUGUAUAUAUUUCAACCAAUAGGGAAAAAAAAAAAAAGAUUUAACAAAAAGCAAAUUACAGUACAAAAAUAUUCCAUAAUUUAUAUUAUUUUUGUAUCAUCAUUCAUCAUCAACACGAUUCUAAGUAGACGUGAAUAAUUUUCAUAAACUAGUAGUGAACAAGACACAAGGUCUCAAACGCACCCAUAAUUCCAAUUUCCAAUUAAGGCUUGAAAUUGGCCAAUAUUUUCAGUAAUUCUGCUACCUAAAUCUCUUCAUGGAACUUGGAUUACAAUUUACAAACAAAAAUGACUUUCUUGAACUUGAACAACUCGAAGUCUCAAAGAAAAAAUGGGCUUCCAUUUUUUAUUUUUCCUUCUUUUUUCACCAAAAUAAUGCGGGUAAGUUAUUUUUUUGUUUUGGAAACUGAAUUUCUUGAAAACGGCAUGUGUAAGAAACUAUCAAAAUUUAGACCUUUCCCUCCAUAGACCACAACCAUCUAAGAACUUAAACAAAAAUCUAACAAUAAACUAUGGGAACUGAAGUAAUAGGAAACGGGUUAUAAUUACAUGAAUAGGAAAUUGAAAUAUUGAAUCCCAAAUUCCAUAUAUAAAAUUGCAGCACAUAAUAGGAAUAAUCUCCUUACAAUUCUAAUGAAUUGCUGUCUUUAGUAGUUUGUGGUGGUAGAAUCGCCGAUGGAGGCAGUCGAACAGUCGGUAGCGACAAUAGGGGUAGAUUAAAUGGCUGAGUUUUGCUUCAACAUUUGGAAUCGGAAGCCGUCAAGCCCGGAGACGAGAUUGAAUUGGAAGUGCGAAGGUUUCUUGCAUUGAAUUUCAAUUUGGUAGUGGAAUAUGGGGAUAGGAAUCUGGGACAGUUUGGAGUCUGUGAAUUGGAAAGUGGGAGGGUUUUUUUUUUUAUUACUCCAUUUUUAUCAUUU
rnacentral:lncRNA from 1 species